rnacentral:rRNA from 1 species
UACCACCCUUGUAUGUUUUGAGUUCUAACCAUGGCCCCUGAACCGGGGUUUGGGACACUGUUUGGUGGGUAGUUUGACUGGGGCGGUCUCCUCCCAAAGAGUAACGGAGGAGUACGAAGGUUGGCUAAUCACGGUCGGACAUCGUGAGGUUAGUACAAUGGUAUAAGCCAGCUUAACUGCGAGACAGACACGUCGAGCAGGUACGAAAGUAGGUCAUAGUGAUCCGGUGGUUCUGAAUGGAAGGGCCAUCGCUCAACGGAUAAAAGGUACUCCGGGGAUAACAGGCUGAUACCGCCCAAGAGUU